rnacentral:lncRNA from 1 species
ACGAAAACCCAGGAUUGGCUGCCCAAUAGGAGAUACAAUAAACCUACGAACCACCGGGUCAGCACCAUUUAAUGAAACCAACAAUCUGAUAGAGCCCAGAGUCUUGACCUUUCCCCCACCAAAAACCUCUAUUGGACCCGUAUUCUUGAUCAACUUUGACAUAUCCACCAGAUGUUUCGGAAGGCAUAGGCCCUAUCCCCUACUCCAUUAUUCAACUGGAAAGAGAUGGAAGAACUAGACGGCGCAGAUGACGGACAGCAUACUCUAAAAUGGCCCAUCUUCCCACCCCGGGAACACUCCUUGCCAAACGCAGGGCAUUUUGUCUUCUGGAAAACAUGGCUUUUUCCACAAAACUUGCAGUUCACUCUGUCCAUCUUUGGAUUAGCCUUUUACGUCGACCACGUCACUUUGGAGCGACGGAGACCUUUUGGCCCCUUAUACUCAGAUGCCAUUACAGUUUCACUCGAUCCCAUUUCUUUAGUGUGGCUGAUUGAGGUUUCCAAUGCUCUGGCUAAUGACAACACGUCUGUCAAUUUCGUGCUACCUCUCUCGAAGACAGUUUGGCGGAGCCGUGGGGACGACGUGUUCUUAACCACCACGUCUAGAAUAAUUUCGUCUUCGAACGAAACUUUGCAGCUCCCACACGCAAAGCGACCAAACUUUGCCUGGCCACGCAACCGAGUCACGUAAUCAUCCACAGGCUCCCCGACUCCCUGUUUCAUCUCAGAGAGCCGGAAGCGUUCAAACAA